AAACUUAUCUUGUUUGUGCAGAUCUUCAAUCAUAAGUUCUCCAUCUCGGGGUCUGUUAGCAGAUAGUGUGACAAAUGAACUUAAAGCAGAAACAAACUUCUCAGCUUAUGAUUCUGGGGCAAGCCUGAAGACGGAGCAGACUACUGAAGAUAUCAAUUUUAAUGCCCAACAAAGUAGGGAGACCCAUCGGCAAUUCUCUGAGAAGUUUGUGCAUUGGGUUAACGAUGGACAUAUUCUUUUCCCUUGAAGUUCGGUUCUGGUUCUUUAAGUUAUACUAUUUUGGACAGUUAUUCAACGGACCCGUCCAAAGGAUGCGGAUUACAUACAGGAAAUAGACGACAGGUGACCAAAAAUAUUACAUAAGAAAAAUUAGCUUACAGAAAGAUAUUGAGGUUGUAAAAUUCCAGAACCAUAGAAAAUGAUAUUUUGGAAGUAUAGAUUGACCAUAGAAACGGAAAAUUAUUUUGGUUGGUUUUAGUUAUCUUUUCCAGAAGGAUAGAUUAUAAAGGUUUCGGUAUGUACAUUAUGUACUGUAAGAACUGGGAUCUCCAUUAUUCGUUUUUACAGGUAAGACGUUCUUCGCUA